rnacentral:rRNA from 1 species
AACGAACGCUGGCGGCAUGCCUAACACAUGCAAGUCGAACGAGACCUUCGGGUCUAGUGGCGCACGGGUGCGUAACGCGUGGGAACCUGCCCGUAGGUUCGGAAUAACUCCCCGAAAGGGGUGCUAAUACCGGAUAAUGUCUUCGGACCAAAGAUUUAUCGCCUUUGGAUGGGCCCGCGUUGGAUUAGCUAGUUGGUAGGGUAAAAGCAUACCAAGGCGACGAUCCAUAGCUGGUCUGAGAGGAUGAUCAGCCACACUGGGACUGAGACACGGCCCAGACUCCUACGGGAGGCAGCAGUGGGGAAUAUUGGACAAUGGGCGAAAGCCCGAUCCAGCAAUGCCGCGUGAGUGAUGAAGGCCUUAGGGUUGUAAAGCUCUUUUACCCGGGAUGAUAAUGACAGUACCGGGAGAAUAAGCUCCGGCUAACUACGUG